UUCUCUGUAGCGCAGAAGUAGAUUUAUUUAUGCACGUAGCAUGACUACCAUUGCAUCAGUUAGAUUUAUUUAUGCACGUAGCAUGACUACCAUUGCAACAAUUGAUGCGCGGUGCUAUAUUUUUGAGGUAUGAUUACUCUGCAUACAGACAGUCAAGUGGAAAGGUGUUUGAUCGUGCAUGCUCAAGAGGUUGAUCACAAAAAUAAAAAUGCAUCUCUUGUUGUAAAAUUUAUAAAUAUUAUCUUUACCUAUGUAAAUAAACAACAGUCACUAUGAUAUGUGAGUGUCACUUUUGCAUUCAGUAGUGUGGUAUUCCCAUGAUUAUAUAAAAUAUACUUUUGUGAUUUGAUGAUAUGUCUAUGAUAAUGAUAUGCAACAAUGUGCUAAAAGUGAAGAAAAGACGAGUUCUUAAAAGAGUGAUAC